rnacentral:rRNA from 1 species
AUGCAAGUCGAGCGGAGUUGAAGAGAUGCUUGCAUCUCUGAUACUUAGCGGCGGACGGGUGAGUAACACGUGGGUAACCUGCCUUUAAGACUGGGAUAACAUUCGGAAACGAAUGCUAAUACCGGAUACGCGAUAUGGUCGCAUGACUGAAUCGGGAAAGAUGGAGCAAUCUAUCACUUAGAGAUGGACCCGCGGCGCAUUAGCUAGUUGGUGAGGUAACGGCUCACCAAGGCGACGAUGCGUAGCCGACCUGAGAGGGUGAUCGGCCACACUGGGACUGAGACACGGCCCAGACUCCUACGGGAGGCAGCAGUAGGGAAUCUUCCGCAAUGGACGAAAGUCUGACGGAGCAACGCCGCGUGAGUGAUGAAGGUUUUCGGAUCGUAAAGCUCUGUUGCCAGGGAAGAACGCUUAGGAUAGUAACUGCUCCUAAGGUGACGGUACCUGAGAAGAAAGCCCCGGCUAACUACGUGCCAGCAGCCGCGGUAAUACGUAGGGGGCAAGCGUUGUCCGGAAUUAUUGGGCGUAAAGCGCGCGCAGGCGGCCUUGUAAGUCUGUUGUUUAAACUCGGGGCUCAACCCCGAGUCGCAAUGGAAACUGCAAAGCUUGAGUACAGAAGAGGAAAGUGGAAUUCCACGUGUAGCGGUGAAAUGCGUAGAGAUGUGGAGGAACACCAGUGGCGAAGGCGACUUUCUGGGCUGUAACUGACGCUGAGGCGCGAAAGCGUGGGGGAGC